CCCGUGUAAUACACGGGGUUCUAAUCUAGUUAAUCAAUAUAUGUAUAUUUUUGUUUAUCUUCUCGUAUUUUUAUAUGUUAUUGAUAAAAUCAACUUAAAAUGUUAAUACUUCAACCUCCUCCCACAUAUUUUUUUAAUACAUAUAAAAUUAAAAUUAAUCUUUAUAAAAUAAAAUAAUUCGAGCCGGCUCGCGAGCUCACGAGCCAAGCCAGGCCUAGCUCGAGCUUGGCUCGUUUACAAAUCGAGCCGAGCUUUUUUCCGAGCGAGCUAUGAGCAAACCACGAGCUUUUUGAAUACCCUACAACCAACCAGAAGGUUCGGUGAUAUCUCUCAAGCUUAAACUUUUUAUAUAUUUUUCUGCUAACUAUAAGUUUUUCAUAAGAACUCUUUAAAAAAAAAACAAAUAGUUUUUAAAAUAGUCGAUAACUUAUUCAACCCCUACCAUAAGAUUCUUACGAUCUGUAUCAAAGCAAGCUGGAUAAAAUAUUUUUAUAGAAAAAUGUUAAUGCAGAAAUCUUGAGUUAGUACCCCAAAUGACCACUCUACCAUGUUUAUAGAAUAUAACUUUUCGCAAUUAAAAAAUAUAUAUGAAUGCAUGUUUUUAAGCGUACGUAUAGAUUGUGGCAUGGAUGCAUAAUGCAUGAAUAUGGUUUUAUGAAAGUGACUUAAAACAAAAAUCAUUAAAUAACAAAGCUUUUGAAAACAUCCAAAAACCUUUAAGAGAAAUUAAGCAAAUAUGAGCAGGGGCGGAUCUAGUGUAUAACAGGGGGUAAUGCCCGUUACCUCUUGGCACUCCGGUGGUAGUGUAAAAUUAGUGUAAAUUUUGGAAAAAUUUGACGUUUUUUUUUCUAUUUCGUUACCGCUUAUUUAUAAAAUGUUACCGCUUGGCGCGAAUCCUAGAUCCGCCACUGAAUAUGAGUAUUUGCCCCUGCACUUGUACCGGGUGAUUUGAUGAAUAUUGAAGGAGUUGGACCAAAGAAAAAUGAAGAAUAAGAGGAUGCAUACUUUUAAGGACAUCAAAGAGUAUGAGAUUAGCAACCUUGGAGUAAAGCUUAAACCUUGAUUGAUAUGGUUUCGCAUAUGUACGCCGCUUUGUAGAUUCCUAAGAAUAUUCUCCGACGGAUGAUAAGAUAGAGACCGAGUUUGAAUUGCAGGUACAAGCUUAUCAUAAAAAAAUGUCACGUGGAAAAGAGAAACUAACGAACUCCAUAGCUUCUACAACACAAAAUACACUUGUAGAGAAAAUCUAUUUCAAAGACUGAUUAGGAAAACAUGCUUGAAAGCUUCAUAAUCGAAUCCCAUUAGCACUAAAGCUUCUUUCCAGAGGUGUUCAGGUGCAUUAGACUUGUCAACUUUGUUCUGUCGGUAAAGAAUCAUUGGACCAUGUCUUAUAAUGGUUCAAUGUUCAGUAUGUUAAUUGAUACAAAACUGAUAAUUACAAGGCCUAAUAUAGACAAUAUUACAUAGGGAAAGAGCUAUAGUUAAGGAUCAACAUCAUUACACUUAUAUACAUUCUAAUAUACAUAUGGCUGAGAUUAGGUAGUGAUGAUGAAAUAUUAUUUAUGAUUUGGUAAUACUCCUUAUACGCCCCCGCAAGAUAGAGGAUCCGUCGGAUACUCCAAUCUUGGAUCGAUUUCGAAGAAAAGGUGCUCGUGCCAAUGGUUUGGUAAGCAUGUCCGCAAGUUGAUCUUGUGACUUGUGAGCUGAUAUGAA